rnacentral:rRNA from 1 species
CCUACGGGUGGCAGCAGUAGGGAAUCUUCCACAAUGGACGAAAGUCUGAUGGAGCAACGCCGCGUGAGUGAAGGAGGGUUUCGGCUCGUAAAGCUCUGUUGGUAGUGAAGAAAGAUAGAGGUAGUAACUGGCCUUGAUUUGACGGUAAUUACUUAGACAGUCACGGCUAACUACGUGCCAGCAGCCGCGGUAAUACGUAGGUUGCAAGCGUUGUCCGGAUUUUUUGGGCGUAAAGCGAGUGCAGGCGGUUCAAUAAGUCUGAUGUGAAAGCCGUCGGCUCAACCGGAGAAUUGCAUCAGAAACUGUUGAACUUGAGUGCAGAAGAGGGGAGUGGAACUCCAUGUGUAGCGGUGGAAUGCGUAGAUAUAUGGAAGAACACCAGUGGCGAAGGCGGCUCUCUGGGCUGCAACUGACGCUGAGGCUCGAAAGCAUGGGUAGCGAACAGGAUUAGAUACCCUGGUAGUC